GACGAACGCUGGCGGCGUGCUUAACACAUGCAAGUCGAACGGUGAAGCGCUUUCCUUUUUGGUUGGUGUGGAUGAGUGGCGAACGGGUGAGUAACACGUGAGUAACCUGCCCCCUUCUUCUGGAUAACCGCAUGAAAGUGUGGCUAAUACGGGAUAUUCUGCGCCUGCUGCAUGGUGGGUGUGGGAAAGAUUGUGCCUUUGGGUGUUUUCGGUGGGGGAUGGGCUCGCGGCCUAUCAGCUUGUUGGUGGGGUGAUGGCCUACCAAGGCGGUGACGGGUAGCCGGCCUGCGAGGGUGGACGGUCACACUGGGACUGAGACACGGCCCAGACUCCUACGGGAGGCAGCAGUGGGGAAUAUUGCACAAUGGGCGCAAGCCUGAUGCAGCGACGCCGCGUGAGGGAUGGAGGCCUUCGGGUUGUGAACCUCUUUCGCCAGUGAAGCAGGCCUGCUCCGUGUGGGUGGGUUGACGGUAGCUGGAUAAGAAGCGCCGGCUAACUACGUG
rnacentral:rRNA from 1 species